rnacentral:rRNA from 1 species
UACAGAGGGUGCGAGCGUUGUUCGGAAUUAUUGGGCGUAAAGGGCGCGUAGGCGGGUCGGUAAGUCAGGGGUGAAAUCCCACGGCCCAACCGUGGAAGUGCCUCUGAUACUGCCGGCCUCGAGGGGGAUAGGGGCGUGCGGAACUCAGGGUGGAGCGGUGAAAUGCGUAGAUAUCCUGAGGAACACCGGUGGCGAAAGCGGCGCGCUGGAUCCCUUCUGACGCUGAGGCGCGAAAGCCAGGGGAGCAAAGCGGG